GGGCGCGGAGAGGGCCCACAGUG
rnacentral:miRNA from 12 species